rnacentral:lncRNA from 1 species
AAAUGUUGUUCAGAACAAUAUUUGGUUUUCUAUAAUGAAAUAGAUUAAUUAUUUUACAAAAACUUAAACCUCGUGGCAUAAUAUAAUGACAUUAAAACACAUAGAUUAAAAAAAAAUAAAAAAAAUUCUCAAACGUAGAAGUAUACUCCAACACAUAACCACACAUACACACAAUCUAAUUAUCUUGUUUGUUAGCUACGAUGGGGAAAGGCUCGUAGCAUCUAGCCCUGGGCAC